UGCUCUUUGAAACUAAUAAAGAGUCUAGCCUGCCCAGUGGAUUUUUAAUCUAAACGGCCGCAGAAUCUUAACUGUGCUAAGGUAGCAUAAUAAUUUGUCUUUUAAUUGGAGACUAGUAUGAACGGCUUAACGAAUUUUUACUGUCUAAAGUAUACUAAAUAAAAUUUAAUCUUAAAGUAAAAAAGCUUUAAUAUAAUAAAAAGACAAAAAGACCCUAUAGAGCUUUAUUUUUAAUAUUUUAUAAUUUAAAUUCAUAAAAUUUGGUUGGGGCAACCUAGAAAGAUUAAAUUUUUCUAUUAAUAAAAAUAAUUAAUAUCAUUUUAUAAAUAAAACAAAACAAGUUACCUUAGGGAUAACAGCAUAAAUUUCUUUGAGAGUUCAAAUCGAAAAGAAAAAUUAUGACCUCGAUGUUGGAUUAGAAAACCUUAAAAUAGAAACAUAUUUUAAUAGGAAGUCUGUUCGACUUUUAAUCUUCUACA
rnacentral:rRNA from 2 species